rnacentral:rRNA from 1 species
CAAUAGCGUAUAUUAAAGUUGUUGCAGUUAAAAAGCUCGUAGUUGGAUUUCUGGUGGGAGCGAUCGGUCUGGCGCUUAGCGCGAGUACUUGCAUCGUCUCCGGCCAUCCUUGGGGAGAGUCUGUCUGGCAUUAGGUUGUCGGGCAGAGGAUCCUCAUCGUUUACUGUGAAAGAAUUAGAGUGUUCAAAGCAGGCUUAUGCCGUUGAAUAUAUUAGCAUGGAAUAAUAAGAUAGGACUUUGGUACUAUUUUGUUGGUUUGCGCACCAAAGUAAUGAUUAAUAGGGACAGUUGGGGGUAUUCGUAUUCCGUUGUCAGAGGUGAAAUUCUUGGAUUUACGGAAGACGAACUACUGCGAAAGCAUUUACCAAGGAUGUUUUCAUUAA